rnacentral:rRNA from 1 species
GAUGAACGCUGGCGGCGUGCUUAACACAUGCAAGUCGACCGGAAAGGCUCCUGCUUGCCGGGGUACUCGAGUGGCGAACGGGUGAGUAACACGUGGGUGAUCUGCCCUGCACUUCGGGAUAAGCCUGGGAAACUGGGUCUAAUACCGGAUAGGACCACAUUUUGGAUGGUGUGGUGGAAAGUUUUUCGGUGUGGGAUGAGCUCGCGGCCUAUCAGCUUGUUGGUGGGGUAAUGGCCUACCAAGGCGUCGACGGGUAGCCGGCCUGAGAGGGUGUACGGCCACAUUGGGACUGAGAUACGGCCCAGACUCCUACGGGAGGCAGCAGUGGGGAAUAUUGCACAAUGGGCGCAAGCCUGAUGCAGCGACGCCGCGUGGGGGAUGACGGCCUUCGGGUUGUAAACUCCUUUCGCUAGGGACGAAGCGUUUUUGUGACGGUACCUGGAGAAGAAGCACCGGCUAACUACGUG